rnacentral:tRNA from 1 species
GGCUUUAUAGCCUAGUGGUAUCUUGGGGGUGGGAUAAGGCUUUAGGACCAAUAGGUCCUGGGUUCGAUUCCCACAAAGGGGG